AUGCUCGAGAUGGCUGCUGCGAGUGACAGAGACCCUUUUGGAGACCUCCCUGACGAGCUCCUAUCGCGCGUGCUGUCCUUCCUUCCGGCAGAGGAUGCCCUACAGACCUGCGUGCUGGAAACCCGGUGGCGCGACCUCUGGAGGCGCUUGACCAGCUUGCGGUUCGUCUUUGAUGGGCCAACGUUUCCGCGAUACAACCGUUUCAAACGGUUGGUGAAGCUGCUUAUCUGUCUCCGCGGGAACUCGCCUCUCAUCAGGUGUGAGAUCGACGCCUAUCCUGACGAUGAGCCGGAGAACAUGUUCACAAACACCAGGCUGUUGAUUGACUAUGCUCUGGCGUGCGAAGCUGAGGAACUCAUAGUAAGAGCAGCUGACAUACAGUACGACCUACCAGUGUUCGAUGUGCCUCUGAGUCUCAUCUCCCAACACUUGAAGACCCUGCACCUUGAAGGGGUCAACCUCGACCACUCUGCUUUGAAGUUCUCAGGCUGCCUGGUGUUAGAGGAUCUAAGGAUUCAACUUUGCAACAUUCGUGCAUGUGAGAUAUCAUCCAUGUCACUAAAGCGCCUGUGCAUCACCGACUACUGUUCUCUACCUGACAUUGUGCGCCUUCGGAUUUGUGCCCCGAGUCUUAUCUCACUGCAGUUAGAGGAUUUUGAAGGCCUGACACCUUUCCUUGAAAACAUGCCAUUGCUAGAAACAGCCCAUGUUAACCUUGAAGAUGGAUGCCAUGAUCACUGUCGCAGUAAUCAGGGGGUUUGUGAUAAUAUUGUCUGUGGUUGUCAUGCUUAUCCUGUCAAGGAGGGGGUGCUUCUCAAUGGUUUGUCCAAUGCUGCCAAGUUGGACUUGAUAGCUUUACCUAAAAUGUUUCUCUACAGAUCGGAUUUGAAAUGGUGUCCCAUCUUUGGCAAAUUGAAGACUCUGUUACUCAAUGAGUGGUUUACGGCUGUUGACCUAGUUUGCAUUCUCCGACAGUCUCCAGUUCUUGAGUCACUCACUCUUAAGCUUGGCAACACCGAGGACAUUGUAGGAGCAACAGGAGCCCAAGAAACAAAAACACAAUCAUUUGUUUGUGCAUGCCUUAAGUCCGUUUAUAUUGAAUGUGAAGAGGUUGAUGAGGGAGUUCUUGCAGUCUUGAAUAUCUUAAGUACAUGCGGCAUACUUCGUGAUCAAAUUAGCAUCAAGGAGGAUUCACGUACAGACUCAGAUUGUUUUGGUCUGCUGUUGGAGCCUUUUUUUGGCCUCAAAGACCAUAAAAUUCUGGUUUUUUUUGUUUCAGCUACAUUUUUUGGUCUGCUAUUGGGGAUGUUUUUAGAAUGUAUGGCACACCCUCCAAAUCCAUUCAUAUUUUGUAUUCAUUAUCCUUCAGUAUAA
rnacentral:rRNA from 1 species